CAUGUACUCCCUCCGUUCCGAAUUACUUGUCACAGAUAUAGAUGUAUCUAGAUGUAUUUUAGGUCUAGAUACAUCCAUUUCUGCGACGAGUAAUUUGGAACGGAGGGAGUAGAUC
rnacentral:pre_miRNA from 1 species